GAAAAAUGCAGGUGUCAUCAAGGCAUGUGAAAAGAUAUGGAGAACAGAGAAGAUCUGCACUCUAACACAGGCUUCUCUUAAAAAAAAAUUGGAGAACUUAUGUGUUAUGUGCUGUCCGAAGUGAUGCCCGCGUGAUUUAGUGUCUGAGUCACUCUUCACCAUCCUGUUAGCUGAUGUCAGCAUGUUGCUCAACAUGCACCUCCUGACUGGAGAAAUGCUUCCUAAGAGAACUUUAUACAGCAGCUUCCACUUUGGGUCUGCUUGAAACAUUUUCACUGCUUAGUCUCCUGGUAUCUUGGCCAAAUCCUAGGUAUUCAAUGGGCAAGGGGGGUGUUCUCAGGAAAUUCACUCAGGCCCUCAGAAGGAUACUUAUUCUGUUGUUACACAUCGGAAAUACCAUUGUGAAGGGCUGUUCAUGGGAGCAAUGGAGAAGCCAACUCUGUCCUUGGUGGAGAGAUGUGCACAGCAUGCAGAUCUCUGCAGUGGGCACCUCUGCGAACAGAUCUCCAUAGGGCAGGCAAGAGGCAUCCUGUAUGGAAGAUUUCCCACCCUGUUUUACUCCUUCAGUGUUCAGCCGCUGCUGUUCGGCAUGGGUGUUUGUCUGAGGAAUGGCUGGCUGUGGGCUGUCUCCAUGGUGUGGCAGAGCCUUUAACACUCACACUGGGGAGCAGCUUUCUGUGCUUACUUCAGACUUUGAGUUAACAGAUCUUGAGGACAAAGCUGCCUGUUUAUGACCAAGCUGACCUGACAGCCUGCAGUCCUGUCCUGCUCUGGACUCUGCCUCCCACUCUGCACCUGACUAUGGAGCUCAUUAGACCUGAUCAUCAGCCAAGCCAGCUCCGUAAACUGGCCAAAAAUAAGUGAGUUUUCCUGUUCCACUUUAGGUUCAUGAGCUGAACUGGCUUGCAGAGGCCCUGAUGAACACCGAAGCUCGCGUGUGCUUACUGUUCUAUUGCCUUUGAAGCAAGUUCUCUUGAGUGACUUCAGGACACCCUUUGUGUUUCUGAUUCAGGAUGUUUCCGGUAACUAGCAGUUCCACAUAGUCCAGCCUUUUUGCUGUCUGCCUUGUGUGUAAGUAUUCGGUGAAACCUAUUGCUUAAAACCUGAGUUUCCCUGAUGCAGAAAUUGGGCACCUAAGAGAAAUGACUGAAAAAAAUUGCACAAUGUUUUGCCAGAGGAGCUAGAGGAGGAGUUCAGUGCCACUCAGGUUUCCACUCAGGCUAUCUUACAGAACAAGCGGAGCCCAGAUGUUUUUAGUAAAUGGCUUUCAAAACUCACAGUUGAGA